UGUAAAGGACUUUUAACGGGUUUUUCUACUUGAAUUUUCUACCGGUAUUUUAAUAAUAGUUUGUAAUUAUUUAUGUUUUAGCUCUCAGGAUUGAAGGUGGUGCGUUUGGCCCAGAUGGUGGCGCCCCCUGUUGCUGUGGCUGUCCUGUGAUCAACAUAAAUCGAUGGAGGAAAAUCCAACGAGUGUUUGUGACGUCACGGUGUUUGGUGAUUCUUUGCUCGGGAGCCUCCGAUCCAGAACCUGUCAGCACCUACCGCCAAGCCUCGGCAACUCAGCUUAGUUUUUCUAACUCCUUCUUAUCUACAUAGAGGCUCGCUCCUCUGGUCACCGUUUGCUCGAUUACCUGUCCGCCCUCCAACACCACCUCCACCAGCGAUCUACACCAAACUCUGAGACUCCACACGCCACCAACAAGCAGCCUCGACUCCAGCAGCCCCCACCGCUUCUUCCUCCCUGGCAGAUUAACUGCAUUUCAUCAAGAUGCAGUCGAUCCUAUACAGUGGACUCCGGGACAAGAUUCACAUUUCAUUCAAUUCUCUGGACAAAAUAAACUGUAUUGAACUGA